GCGGCGGCUUAACACAUGCAAGUCGAGCGGUAGCACARGRGAGCUUGCUCYCUGGGUGACGAGCGGCGGACGGGUGAGUAAUGUCUGGGAAACUGCCUGAUGGAGGGGGAUAACUACUGGAAACGGUAGCUAAUACCGCAUAACGUCGCAAGACCAAAGAGGGGGACCUUCGGGCCUCUUGCCAUCAGAUGUGCCCAGAUGGGAUUAGCUAGUAGGUGGGGUAAUGGCUCACCUAGGCGACGAUCCCUAGCUGGUCUGAGAGGAUGACCAGCCACACUGGAACUGAGACACGGUCCAGACUCCUACGGGAGGCAGCAGUGGGGAAUAUUGCACAAUGGGCGCAAGCCUGAUGCAGCCAUGCCGCGUGUGUGAAGAAGGCCUUCGGGUUGUAAAGCACUUUCAGCGAGGAGGAAGGUGGUGARCUUAAUACGYUCAUCAAUUGACGUUACUCGCARAAGAAGCACCGGCUAACUCCGUGCCAGCASCRGSRRRGUAAUAMA
rnacentral:rRNA from 1 species